GCUGUGGCUCAGUGGUAGAGUGCUUGCCUGGCAUGUGUGAGGCACUGGGUUCAAUUCUCAACACUGCA
rnacentral:tRNA from 1 species